AAAAACAGACAAUUCUAAAAAAAUCUCAUAUUUACUGCUGUUACUUACUUGAAUAUUGGAAUUCUUAUAGGUACACCCACAUCACUAAACUAAAGCUUAAAGACCAUUUUAGAGUUUAUCACAAAUAACAUGAACAAAAGUCCAUUCCAAUUUAGAAUGGAAGAAAAUGAUCAACUCACUCUAGUGAUUUGAUUUAGCAAGAAU
rnacentral:lncRNA from 1 species